rnacentral:rRNA from 1 species
AGAGUUUGAUCAUGGCUCAGAUUGAACGCUGGCGGAAUGCUUUACACAUGCAAGUCGAGCGGCAGCGCGGGGGCAACCCUGGCGGCGAGCGGCGAACGGGUGAGUAAUGUAUCGGAACGUACCCAGUCGUGGGGGAUAACUAUCCGAAAGGAUAGCUAAUACCGCAUACGUCCUGAGGGAGAAAGCGGGGGACCGAAAGGCCUCGCGCGAUUGGAGCGGCCGAUAUCGGAUUAGCUAGUUGGUGAGGUAAAGGCUCACCAAGGCGACGAUCAGUAGCGGGUCUGAGAGGAUGAUCCGUCACACUGGAACUGAGACACGGUCCAGACUCCUACGGGAGGCAGCAGUGGGGAAUUUUGGACAAUGGGGGCAACCCUGAUCCAGCCAUUCCGCGUGAGUGAAGAAGGCCUUCGGGUUGUAAAGCUCUUUCAGCCGGAACGAAACGGUACGCACUAAUAUUGUGUGCUAAUGACGGUACCGGCAGAAGAAGCACCGGCUAACUACGUGCCAGCAGCCGCGGUAAUACGUAGGGUGCGAGCGUUAAUCGGAAUUACUGGGCGUAAAGCGUGCGCAGGCGGAUUGUUAAGCAAGAUGUGAAAUCCCCGGGCUUAACCUGGGAAUGGCAUUUUGAACUGGCAGUCUAGAGUGUGUCAGAGGGGGGGUGGAAUUCCACGUGUAGCAGUGAAAUGCGUAGAUAUGUGGAGGAACACCAAUGGCGAAGGCAGCCCCCUGGGAUAACACUGACGCUCAUGUACGAAAGCGUGGGUAGCAAACAGGAUUAGAUACCCUGGUAGUCCACGCCCUAAACGAUGUCAACUGGUUGUUGGGGGGAGUGAAAUCCCUUAGUAACGAAGCUAACGCGUGAAGUUGACCGCCUGGGGAGUACGGUCGCAAGAUUAAAACUCAAAUGAAUUGACGG